UACGGAGGGUGCAAGCGUUGUUCGGAAUUACUGGGCGUAAAGCGCACGUAGGCGGGCGCGUAAGUCAAUUGUGAAAUCCCAGGGCUUAACCUUGGAAUUGCAGUUGAAACUGCGUGUCUUGAAUGCUUGAGAGGGUGACGGAAUUCCUGGUGUAGAAGUGAAAUUCGUAGAUAUCAGGAGGAACACCGGAGGCGAAAGCGGUUGCCUGGCGAUGCAUUGACGCUAAGGUGCGAAAGCGUGGGUAGCAAAC
rnacentral:rRNA from 1 species